ACGCCGCUCAUCCGCGCUUCCAGACUCAUUUCCCGGCAUGCCCUGCGCCCCGCUCCCGUUCGCAGAGCCCCGCGUGGUGGGCGGGGUCGGGGCCCGGGAGGCGGGUCCCAACGGCUGCCGCGGCGGUUCGAACUCGGCGCCUCGGAGGUUCGCUGGUUCUCCUCAUCGAGAGUCAGAGGCUUCCAUGUCGUGGGCUGCGAGAGUGUCCCAGGCUUCCGAGCGCAGAGGAGGCUCGCGGUGCGCCGUGGUCUGGGGACGCUAACCCCGCCUGCGAUCUGGGUGGAAAUGGAAUUUAUCUCAUCAGACUACUGUACUAAAGACAACGACAAUGAGGAGGAAAGUUUGCUUGCAAACGUUGCUUCAUUAAGACAUGAACUCAAAAUAACAGAAUGGAGUUUGCACAAUUUAGGGGAAGAGUUAUCCAGUGUUAGUCCAAGUGAAAAUUCUGAGUAUGUCUGCAGUCCUUCAAGAUCUGAAAGGCUUAUUUUGGAAGAACUCACCCAACCUAGCCACCUGGGACGUUUGAUUUACCCACCUUAUAAGAAAGUUUGUAAAACAUCUGAUAGUACUGAUUAUCAAAAGAAAUCAAGAGAUCAGGUGUCUUUUUCAUCUGUUUCUAUGGAUCAAGAGGUUAAAAACCUUCGAGAGAAACUUCAUAAACUUAGGCAACAGAAUGCUUGUUUGGUCACACAGAAUCAUUCUUUAAUGACUAAAAUAGAAUCUGUCCACUUUGAAUUGACACAAUCAAAAGCAAAAAUUGCUAUGCUUGAGUCUGCACAAGAGCAGGCAGCCAACAUUCCAAUCUUAGAAGAACAGAUUAUAAAUUUGGAAGCAGAAGUUUCAGCUCAAGAUAAAGUUUUGAGAGAAGCAGAAGAUAAAUUAGAGCAGAGUCAGAAAAUGGUGAUUGAAAAGGAGCACAGUUUACAAGAGGCCAAAGAAGAGUGUAUAAAAUUGAAGGUGGACUUACUUGAACAGAGUAAACAAGGAAAAAGAGCUGAGCGACAAAGGAAUGAAGCCCUCUAUAAUGCAGAAGAGCUGAGUAAGGCCUUCCAGCUGUACAAAGAAAAAGUGGCUGAAAAACUGGAAAAGGUUCAAGAUGAAGAAGAAAUAUUAGAGAGAAAUCUUAGUAACUGUGAAAAGGAAAAUAAAAGGCUUCAAGAAAAGUGUAAUCUGUAUAAAAGUGAACUUGAAAUUUUGAAAGAGAAAUUCAGGGAGUUAAAAGAAGAACAUUACAGUGGAAAAGAAAAAUUAAUGAUUAUGGCAAUGAAAAACUCAGAAGUCAUGUCACAGUUAACGGAAUCUAGACAAUGUAUUCUGAAGCUAGAGAGGGAGUUAGAGGACAAAGAUGAAAUAGUACGAGAAAAGUUUUCCUUAUUAAAUGAAAAUCGAGAAUUGAAGGUUCGUGUUGCAACACAGAAUGAACGACUAGAGUUGUGUCAGCAGGACAUUGAUAAUUCAAGGGUGGAACUGAAGAGUUUAGAAAAACUGAUAACCCAGAUACCAUUAAAAAGAGAAAUAGUUGGCUUUAGGUCAUCUCUUUGUAAGCACCAGAGGAGUAGUGUUUCUGACAAGGAGGACAAAUGCAUUGGCUGCUGUGAGGCAAAUAAACUCAUGAUUUCUGAAUUGAGGAUUAAGCUUGCAAUAAGAGAGGCUGAAAUUCAAAAGCUUCAUGCAAAUCUGACUGUGAACCAGCUCUCUCAAAAUGUUGCUAAUGAUAGUCAAGAAUGUGGUAAAGUAAACACGUUAGAAACAGAACCGGUAAAAUUAGGAGGUAGUCAAGUCGAAAGUAUAAAGGAUGGAGAUCAGCAGACUGUGAACAAGCAGUAUGAAAGAGAGAAGCAGCGACUUGCUACCGGGAUAGAAGAACUGCGUGCUAAGCUGACACAGAUAGAAGCUGAGAACUCUGACUUGAAGGUUAACAUGGCACACAGAACUAGUCAGUUUCAGCUAAUUCAAGAGGAACUACUAGAGAAAGCUUCAAAUGCUAGCAAACUAGAAAAUGAAAUGACAAAGAAGUGUUCUCAACUUUUAAUUCUAGAGAAACAGCUAGAAGAAAAAAUUAUUGCAUAUUCUUCUAUUGCUGCAAAAAAUGCAGAACUUGAACAAGAACUUAUGGAGAAAAAUGAAAAAAUAAGAAGCCUAGAAUCAAAUAUCAACACAGAACAUGAGAAAAUUUGUUUUGCUUUUGAAAAAGCAAAGAAAAUUCAUCUUGAACAGCAUAAGGAAAUGGAAAAACAGAUUGAGCAACUCGAAACUCAACUGGAGAAAAGAGACCAACAGUUUAAAGAACAAGAAAAGACUAUGUCCAUUUUGCAGCAAGAUAUACUGUGUAAACAGCAUCACCUUGAAUCACUAGAUAGACUCUUGACAGAAAGUAAAGUGGAAAUGGAAAAAGAAAAUAUGAAGAAAGAUGAAGCUUUAAAAGCAUUGCAGAUUCAUGUAUCUGAAGAAACAAUCAAGGUCAGACAACUGGAUUCAGCGUUAGAAAUCUGUAAGGAAGAGCUUGCUUUGCAUUUGAAUCAAUUGGAAAGAAAUAAGGAAAAAUUUGAAAGACAGCUGAAGAAGAAAUCUGAAGAGGUAUAUUGUUUGCAGAAAGAGCUAAAGAUAAAGACUCAUAAUCUUGAAGAGACGAGUGAACAAAAUGCCAUCCUACAGCACACUCUUCAGCAGCAGCAGCAGAUGUUACAGCAAGAGACCAUGAGAAAUGGAGAGCUAGAAGAUACUCAGAGUAAACUUGAAAAACAGGUAUCAAAGCAAGAACAAGAGCUUCAGAAACAAAGGGAAAGUUCAACAGAAAAGUUGAGAAAAAUGGAAGAGAAAUAUGAAACAGCCAUACGUGAAGUGGAUUUGAAAAGGCAAAAAAUUAUCGAGCUAACUGGUACUGCCAGGCAAGCCAAACUUGAGAUGGAUCAGUACAAAGAGGAGCUGUCUAAAAUGGAAAAAGAAAUAAUUCAUUUGAAGCGAGAUGGGGAAAAUAAAUCCAUGCAGCUUUCUCAGUUAGAUAUGGUUUUAGAUCAAACAAAAACAGAACUAGAAAAGACAACAAAUUCAGUGAAGGAGUUAGAAAGGUUACAACACCACACAGAAACUGAAUUAACAGAAACCAUGCAGAAACGGGAAGCUCUCGAAAACGAACUACAGAAUGCUCAUGGAGAAUUGAAAAGUACCUUAAGACAACUACAGGAAUUGAGAGAUGUAUUACAAAAGGCUCAGUUAUCAUUAGAGGAAAAAUACACUACAAUAAAGGAUCUCACUGCUGAACUGAGGUUACACAUUUGGAUAUGACUAUUCGUGAACACAGAGGAGAAAUGGAGCAAAAAAUAAUCAAAUUGGAGGGUACCCUGGAAAAAUCAGAAUUAGAACUUAAAGAAUGCAACAAACAGGUAGAAAGCUUAAAUGAAAAGUUGCAAAAUGCCAAAGAACAGCUUCGAGAAAAGGAGUUUAUAAUGCUCCAAAAUGAACAGGAGAUAUCACAACUGAAAAAGGAAAUCGAAAGAACACAGCAAAGGAUGAAAGAAAUGGAAAGUGUUAUAAAAGAACAGGAAGACUACAUUGCUACCCAGUACAAGGAGGUCAUUGAUUUGGGGCAAGAAUUGAGGCUAACCCAGGAGCAAAUGCAGAACACUCAUUCAGAACUGGUGGAGGCUCGUCGCCAAGAAGUCCAAGCACAGAGGGAAAUAGAAAGGCUUGCUGGUGAACUGGAGGAUAUAAAACAACUCUCUAAAGAGAAGGAAGCUCAUGGAAAUCGUUUGGCUGAAGAACUGGGGGCUUCUCAAGUACGUGAAGCUCAUUUAGAAGCAAGAAUGCAAGCAGAAAUAAAGAAAUUAUCCUCAGAAGUAGACUCUCUGAAAGAAGCUUAUCAGAUAGAGAUGAUUUCACAUCAAGAGAACCAUGCAAAGUGGAAGCUUUCUGCUGAAUCUCAGAAGACGUCUGUUCAACAACUGAAUGAACAACUAGAGAAAGCGAAACAAGAAUUGGAAGAAGCUCAGGAUACUGUGAGCAAUUUGCAUCAACAAGUUCAAGACAGGAAUGAAGUCAUUGAAGCUGCAAAUGAAGCAUUACUUAUUAAAGAAUCAGAAUUAACCAGAUUGCAAGCCAAAAUUUCUGGACAUGAAAAGACAGAAGACACCAAGUAUCUACCAGCUCCGUUUACAACUCUAACAGAAAUUAUACCUGAUAGUCAACAUCCAAAUUUUGCCAAACAUUCUCAGAUAUCACUUUUCAAAUGCAGAAAACUACGUCGGUCUAUUAGUGCCAGUGACCUGAGUUUCAAAAGUCAUGGUAAUGACGAUCUCUCUGAAGAAUUGCUACAGGACUUAAAAAAAAUGCAAUUUGAGCAGACUUCAGCGAUAGAAAGUGGUCAUAAAGACCUACCUUUAACCCAUUCAGAGUCAUUUAAACCUCUCCCGUAUAACCUAGAAGAUGAUAGUUCUGAAAGUAAUGACUUCAGUACUCUUAGUGGAAUGCUGAGAUACAUAAACAAAGAAGUGAGACUGCUGAAAAAAUCUUCUCUGCAAACAGCUACUGGUUUAAGUCAGGGAGGAAAAUUGUAAUUAAAAGAAGAUGUCUAUGUCAUGAAAAAUGGAAUUGUUGGUACUGUGCUGUUUGUUAUGUGUAUGUAGUGAAUACUCAUUGAAGCUGUUAUUUUAUUAUUUUUAAUAAAUUUUUAUAUUUUAAUAUUUUAAAGAAACACUUCUAAAAUAUAACUAUAUUUGUAGUAAAAAUUAAGUCAAUUUAUUGAUUAUUUUGGUGAAAAUUACUGUUUUCUUCGUCUUUGUCUUACAUAACAAUAAUGACUAAAAUAUUUAAAAGUACAUUUAGUAUUUGCACUUUUAGUCAUGCUAUUAUAUUUCUUGCUAUUUUUAAAAUAUUUACUUGUAACAACACUUUUCUGAAUUUACAAAUCCUUCUGUGAUAAGUUCUUAAGACUUGAUGGGUGUUUGCUGUUUAUCAUUUACUAUUUUAGAUUCUUUAUAUUUUGAAACUCAUUUAAUCCUCAAAACAGCCUAAUGAAGUAGAUAUGGUAUUAUUUGUGUUUUUAAAUAGAAUUAUUUAACAUGGUAGAACUAUAUGUUCUAAAGAAAGUUAAUCACUGCAAGUAUUUUUGGGUUGGUGACUCCAUUUAUACAUGGUUAGCAUUAAGCGUUGAACAUUGAGGCCUUAAUAUGUUACUAGUCAUCAUGUGAGUGCUGAGAGUCAAACAGAGGUCCUCUGGAAGAGGAGCCAGUGCUCAUGGAACCAUCUCACCAGCCCUAUCCAGUCACAUGUCAGUAGUACCAUCUGAGUAACACCAAUUUAGAAAUUCUAGAACCAAAACAUACAUUUGAAAGUUGAAAACACCCAGUGUGAGCUUAACAGAAGCAAUGACAAUUGGCAAUGGCAGAAAUAUUAGUUGACCUAAAGACAGAUAAAUAGAAAAUAUUCAGACUGAGGAACAAGAAGAAAAAUGAUAGAAUAUAUAUGAAAACAACAUACAGCAUAUAUGGAGACCAUUAAGGUUAAGAAGAGAAAUGGGGUAGAAAAUCAGGGUAUUUAUAAUUAUAGCUGAAAGUACCUCAAACUUAUUGAAACAGAACCUGUAGUUCAGUAAAGCCUAAUAGGACAAAUACAUACACAUACACUAUAACACACACACAAACUCCUACUUAUAUAGUAGUAAAAUACUGGAAACCAAAAAUAUAAAGAAUAACUUAGAAGCACAUUUCAAAAGAUUUAUGUAGGAAGGCAGCAUCCAAAAGAAGACUGAUUUCUAAUUAUUAAUUAUAAACAAUUUGGUUUUAUUUUUACUUUUAACUUUUUUGACACAGUCUUAUUAAUGUACUCCUGGCUGGCCUGGAACUUGCUGUUUACACCGGGUUGUCCUUGAACUCAUAGAAAUUCACCUGCCCCUGCCUCUAGAUUAAAGGCAUGUGCCACCAUGUCCAGCAAUGUGAUGUUUUUGUUUGUUGGUUGGUUUGUUGGUUGGUUGGUUGGUUGGUUGGUUUGGUUUUUAGAGACAGGGUAGUUCUGGCUGUCCUGGAACUCACUCUGUAGACCAGGCUUGGCCUCGAACUCAGAAAUCCGCCUGCCUCUGCCUCCCAAGUGCUGGGAUUAAAGGCGUGUGCCACCACACCCAGCCAAUUUGAUGUAUUUUAAAUAGAAGAAAACUAAUAUGCUGCAAACAGUAGGAUUGAUCAAACAAUAAGCAUAAGAAAACUUCAGGGCUAUGUUAGUAUCAGACAAAGUGUACACCCAAAAGAUGUGUUGUCAUCAUAGACAAAGGAUGUUUCCUAAUUGUACCUGAAGAUAUUCUCUUAAAUGUAUACAUCUCAAACACCAGACUUUAGCAGAAUUAGAAAGAAAGAAAGAAAGAAAGUCCACAACCAUAGUAGAAAAGUUUAACCUCUGCUUUUUAGUAAUUAAAAAAAUAAUAAACUGAAAAAUAUAUAAAUUUGGAUCCUAUCAACAUUAAUUUAGGGAAUAUUAGGUACACCUUUCAUGCCUCCCAUUAUUUUGACAAAUGAAAUGGAGUUAAAAACCUAGCUAUUAGUCAUUAAUAGUCUCCCAACCAAAAGAAGCCCAGGACAGAUGGGUUUAGUGCAGAGUUCUAUCAGACCUUCAAAGAAAACCUAAUUCCAACUCUCCUCAAACUAUUCCACAAAAUAGAAACAGAAGGGACUCUACCCUAUUCAAUCUAUGAAGCCACAAUUACUCUGAUACCUAAACCACAGAAAGACCCAACAAAGAAGAGAACUUCAGACCAAUUUCCCUUAUGAAUAUCGACGCAAAAAUACUCAAUAAAGUUAUUGCUAACCCAAUCCGAGAACACAUCAAAACGAUAAUCCAUCCUGUCCAAAUAGGCUUCAUCCCAGGGAUGCAGGGAUGGUUUAAUAUACGGAAAUCCAUCAACGUAAUCCAUUAUAAAAACAAAUUCAAAGACAAAAACCACAUGAUCAUCUCGUUAGAUGCUGAGAAAGCAUUUGACAAAAUCCAACACUAUUCAUGAUAAGUUUUGGAAAGAUCAGGAAUUCAAGGCCCAUACCUAAACAUAAUAAAAAAAUAAUAUACAGCAAACCAGUAGCCAACAUCAAAGUAAAUGGAGAAAAGCUGGAAGCAAUCCCAUUAUAAUCUGUGUUCUUAAUUCCCUUUUGUUUCUUUUAAGAACAAGAGACUUAAGGAAAACCACUGGCCCUUUCUACUAUGUGAGGACACAGAAAGAAGUUAUUGUCUGUGAACCAGAAAGUACACAUUCACCAGAUACCAGUCUGCCAGUCAGUGCCUUAGCUUUUCUAAUCCCCAGAACUGUGAGAAAAAACAAAACAAAAAACCAUUCCUGUUGUUGAAAAGCCUUCCAGUUUGUGGUAUUUUUUAUUAUAACAGCCAGAAUGCACCAAAACAUUAAAAUUAUGUGUUUCAAUUUUUCCAAAACAAAAAGAACAAUAAAAAUAUUUUUUCCUUAGUUUCCUAUCUAGUCUAGCUACCCAUCUCGUCAUAUAUAUACUUUAAGUGGACUGGGUUCUUGAAAGAUAAAUAAGUUUGCUGUUUCUCUUUCUUUUGCUUUCACUCAGUGAUGUCUUUUUUUAAGAAACAACCUUUAAAAUACCAUCUUAGAUUGUUCUCAUUAGGAUCCUCAGGUGACAACAAGGUAUUUUGAAACAUUCAAGUGGCAGUACAGUACUGAGCACUAUGAGCAAAAUGGAAGCGUUUGUCUUCACAAGUCUUACAGUCUGCUGAUACUCAGUAUGGACAAGUGCCAUUUGGGAAAUUGCAAGAUGUUGUAAGAGUUUGUAUCUAAGAUAUCAGAAAAAGAUUCCUGGAAGAAAUUACUUUUAUAUUAACGAAGACUAAUUAAAUUUGGGCAAAGGGCAGAGAUCUGGGGAGACCAGAAAGAUGAGGAGAGUGACUAGGUGAUGUGUAAGAAUGUGGAGGAAAUAAUAAGUAGGCAGGGACACAUAACAAAAUAUCAAAACACAACAAAAGAUGGAAGAAGCUAGCUGGCACAGGUGAUUCUUUAUUCUACAACUUAGCCUGCCCCCUCUCUCUCCUCUUCCUCUUCCUCCUCCUCUUCUUUCUUCUCUUCCUCCUCCUCCUCUCUCUUCUCCUUCUUUUUUUCCCCUCCUUUUGGAGACAGGGUUUGUUUCUCUGUGUAGCCCAGGAACUCACUCUGUAGACCAGACCAAGCUGUCCUUGAACUUAGGUAUCUGCCUUCCCUGCCACCCAGGUACUGGGACUAAAGAUGCUAACUGGCACAAAUGAAGGUUUUUGGGGUUUUUUUGUUUUGUUUUUGUUGUUGUUGUUGUUGUUUGGUUUUUGGUUUUUUUUUUUUUACAAUUCAACUUGCCAUUUUCCCCCUUACCUUUCCUUUUAAUAACAAAAACAAUUCCAGCUGCCAUUCUCUUAUGCCUAAACGAUUCUAGUUCUCUGGGUGGUUGUCUUUUCCACAAGUCCUUAGAAGAGCUUUAUAAUUCCCAAAUCAGUCUUGUUUCACUUGACACCAUGGCAGAGGAACAGAAUUGGCUAUAUACAAUCUAGAUAUUUAUAUUAUAGCUAAAAGUUAUAUAGGGUUGCAUACAUGAUGAAUGAGAAUAUAUUCUUGUGUUUUCAGUAAAUUUUUAACUGUUUCACUUUGUUCUGAUUUUAUGAUUGCCAUAUGAUCAUAUACUUGUGUGUAGGAAUGCAACUUUUGCUUUAGUAAAAUGAGAAUGUAAACAUGGUGGUUUGAGUUCUCCAGUCUUGGGCACUUGAAUUCUUAGUCCCCAGUUGGUGGCUUUGUUUGGGUAGGUAUAGGAGAUGUGGCCUUGCUGGAGGAAGUAUGUCACUGUGGGAAGGGUUUGACAUUUCAAUAGCCAUGUGUUGUUCGGUUUGCUCUCUCUGCUUUCUGUUUGUAGUUUCAGAUGUGAGCUCUCAGAUGUUCCUGCCCCCAUGUCUACUUCUUGCUGCUACAACUCCCUGCCAUGAUGGACUCUGAUCUCUCUGAAACAAUAAGCUCAGAUAAACUCUUCUAUAUUUUGUCUUGGUUUUGGUGUUUUAUCACAGCAGUAGAAAAGUAACUAAUAAGUUGGGUGUGGUGGCGCACGUCUUUAAUACCAGCACUCGGGAGGCAGAGGCAGGUGGAUUUCUGAGUUCGAGGCCAGCCUGGUCUACAGAGUGAGUUUCAGGACAGCCAGGGCUACACAGAGAAACCCUGUCUCAGAAAAAAAAAAAAAGAAAAGAAAAAAAGAGUAACUAAUACAGUAGUAAUGGACCAAUAUGAAUUUUUAGUUUUAAGACAAUUUUAUUUGGGGCUGAAGAGAUGGCUCAGCGGUUAAGAGCACUCACUGACUGCUCUUCCAGAGGUCCUGAGUUCAAUUCCCAGCAACAACCAUAUGGUGGCUUAAAACCAUCUGUAAAGGGAUUUGAUGUCCUCUUUUGGUAUGUCUGAAGAGAGCAACAGUGUAAAUUUUACACUUAUGUAGAAUUAUAAAUAAACAAACAAACAAAUCUUUUUUAAAAUGUUUAAAUUUUUUUAUUUUUAAAUUGAUGGCUAUCACCAGAAAGGAAUAAAGCCCUAUACCUAUUACUACUCAAUAAUGGAAAGCAAAAUGGGUUCAUAAGCUCAAAUCUGUAUGAAAUUAAGCAAAGUUUGAAAGAAAACAAACGUCAGAAGUAAGGGAGAUGUUUAAUCAAGCUGAAAACAUAGAUGUUGCAAUAGAAACAGGAAAAUUCACUUUACUCUGUCAUACAUCAUGUUGCUGGGGAGUCUGUAGCACCCAUUUCAGAAAGAUGGUGUGGCUACAUUUCUCUAUAACUUCCACCACAGGUUGGGUGACAGACAGAUUCCAGGAUCUCUCUGGACAGCCAGACUAGCUGAAUCACAAGCACGCCCUUGAGAGAACUGUAGUGUUCCUGCUCUCCUUUCUCUGCUUCCUGGUUUGAAAUGUGAAAGUUUGCUGGCUUAUGUACUCAUAAAACGCUCUCCUCCCCAGAGACCCAAACAAGUGGGGCUAUCCAAUGUUGGACCAGGAUUCUGAGUUCCUAGUGACAGAGCUUGUCCUUUUUUACUUAUAUAUGACUGUGUGAUUAACUGCCAUAGGUGUACAGAUGUUAACAGAGGCCAGGAGUAAGACUCUUCGGAACUGGAAUUGUGAGCUACCUGAUGAGUGUGCUGGGAUCUAAACUCAGGUCCUCUAGAAGGGCAGCAGAUGUCUUAACUGCCGAGUCAUCUCUCUAGCAUGAGGGGUUUGUUCUUAAAAUCUCUUUCGAGGUCUAUGGCAAGGAUUACACAGGAGGUUCCCUAGUGCUAGUUUUGGCAGCUGUCUUGGUUUGGGUUCGUUUCUGUGAAGAGACACCAUGACCACAGUAACUCUUAUAAAGAAAAAUAUUUGAUUGGGGCUGGUUUACAGUUUCAGAGGGUUCCCAUUAUGUUAAUAAUGUUCCUGCCCCCAUGUCUACUUCUUGCUGCUACAACUCCCUGCCAUGAUGGACUCCAUUAUUUACAUGAUGGGAAAGAUGGCAGUGUGAGGGAAAGAUAUGGGACUAGAGGAACUGAGAGUUCUACAUCUUGAUCUGCAGGCAACAGAAGGCAGUUGUAUUACACUGGGUGUAGUUUGAGCAUAUACAGUCUCAAAGCCUACCUCACUGUAGGCUUUCUUCAAAAAGGCCACACCUCCUAAUAGUGUCACACCCUAUGAGCCAAGUAUUCAAACACAUGAAUCUAUGGAGGCCAUUCCUAUUCAAUCAAUCACCACAGCACAGAUGCUAAAAUAGGAGUUUAGCCGGCCGCUGACCAGUUAUUGUUGCGUGCCUGUCCAUUCUGGUUCUUUGUCACACUUACUCACUUUAACAAAAAGGCAGGUCAAAAUCCCCCAUGAAGUUAUUGGCAUGCUGUAUCAUGAAGGAGUACACCUGGCUUCCUGAAGUCAUACAUGUUACUUUCUACUUUUGGAAUAGACCAGAACUAGUUAAUCUAAUUAAAAACUAUUCUGAAUAUAUGUGUAUAUAUGCAUAUAUGUGUGUGUACACAUAUGUAUGCAUAGAUUCAUAUGUGUGUGUAUGUAUAUACAUGUUGUUCCAGGAAAACAAUGCUUUUCUCAAUCAGAAAUUUGCUCACUUAAUCUUUUUUUUUAAAUCACUUUCAUAAGUUCACAUGAAGCUAACAGUAACAUUAUUGAGGAAUGGUAAGCAUGAACCAAUAAAAGCUAAUGAAAGAGUUCCAGGACAGCCAGGGCUAUACAGAGAAACUCUGUCUCAAAAAACCAAAAAAAAAAAAAAAAGCUAAUGAAAAAUAUUGUGUAAGUCAUAUUAAGAGAAUAUCAUUUAAAAAGUGAAAUUAAAUUUUUAGCCCUACUAAGGUUUGAGUAGAAGAAAUUCCCAACAUAUAUAAGAAAAAAUACACAUUUUUGCAAAACAUACAGAUUUUGCUGAUGGGAAGCAAUACAGAAUCAUAGAUUCUGCUUUCCUUUCAUUUCUGUUGCUAUAAGUAAAGAGAGCUGGGGGAGAAAAACGGUUUAUUUGGUGUUCAAUUCCAGGUUACAGUUAUUGCAAUAAAGUCAUAGAGGUAGAAGCUUGAGACAGCUGGUCACGUCACAUCCACAGUCAAGGGUAAGGAGAAAUGAAUAAACACACACCCAUGUUGCCAAUUUACUCUUUCUGCUUUGGCUUUUAGCUCUUCCCAUUCUGUAUAGUUUAGGAUCCCCUGCACAGGGAAUGCUGCUGCCCACAAAAGACGAGUUCUUCCUACAUAAUUAGCAAUGGAGACAAUUCCCCAUUCCAAACAUACCCACAGAACAACUUGAUCAAGAGUAAUUUCUCAACUGAAACUCUUCCCCAGUAAUUCCAGGUUGUGGCAAGUAGACAUUUAAAACUAACCAUCCUAGUUACAAAAACAGCCUGUCUUUACUCAUGGAAAACAGAUGGUGUGAAUAUCAAUGUCUGACAAGGCUUGCUUAGGCUGUAAUGAACAGGUAUGGACAAAUAAUUGACAUUUGUGGUUUCCUGAAUCUUGAGCUUGCAUUAUCUGGGCCAGACAAACAGGUCCUUUAAACAGAAGGAGGAAAACAAAAAACAAUACAUCAAGGUAAGUCAGUUCCAGUCCAGACAUGUAAAAGAUUUGACAUUAUUGUUUUAGAAAGGUGAUGGUGGGGCUGGUGAGAUGGCUCAGUGGGUAAGAGCACCCGACUGCUCUUCCGAAGGUCCAAAGUUCAAAUCCCAGCAACCACAUGGUGGCUCACAACCAUCUGUAACAAGAUCUGACUCCCUCUUCUGGAGUGUCUGAAGACAGCUACAGUGUACUUACAUAUAUUAAUAAAAUAAAUCUUUAAAAAAAAAGGCGAUGGUAUCUUAAGGGGUUAUGAUUUUAA